GUGCUUGCUUUGGCAGCACAUAUACCAAAAGUGGAAUGAUAAGGAGAAGAUUAACAUGACCCUUGCACAAGAAUGACACACAAAUUCAUGAAACAUUCCAUACUUUU
ensembl:snRNA U6 U6 spliceosomal RNA